GGGGGCGACUGGCUUCGACGGGUAAUGAUAAUCUAUACGUUGCAUGUGGAGGAUACUCUAUCCACCUCCUUAAUCAGUUAGAGUACGUUAUAAAUGCCGAUUACGGUUACGUUGCUGCUGCUUAAUUGACAGUAGCUGUCUAUUAACAGGGAUGUUCGCGACCAGUUAAAUAGGCAUCAUUAGUGCGAUCUAGUUUUGAUAAGGCCUAAAUUAUUAAAAUGAAAACUUUUUAGGAUCGUUUAAUAGGAUUAUGGUUAUUGAAGACUAUUGAAUUAAACUAAAAAAUAACCUAAACAUGUAGAUAUUUAUAGUGCUCUUAUUCGGACCGCGGUUCAAAUCCGCGCGCCUCCACAA
rnacentral:tmRNA from 1 species